CCCGCACCCUGCACGCCGCCGCCGCCCGCGCCGCUGCACCGCUUGCGCCGCCGCCGCCGACUAGAUCUGCCGCCGGCGGCCCCUGCCCCUGGCCCUGCCCCGCGCUCCCCUGGCCCAAGAGUCUGCUCAGAUCCCGCUCAGCUCCUCCGCACCACCUCACCAAAUUUCGCCCUCCCUGCUCCCGGACUUGGUUCUUGGCGACGAUAAGGAUUUUGUGUUGGUUUUGACAGCAGAGCCUGAUCGAGCCCCCUUGAGCAGGUUGCCGGAGGUUUCAGCAGUUUUGUCUGCAUAACAAGUUGCUUCAUCGGACUGAUCUGCUCUUUUCCCUUGGGUGAGGAUAACGGAACGCGCUUCUUCCAUUUUUCUAUAGUCUGGUACUCUGGUCUGAUAGUAGCCCCAGCAUUUUUUUAUUUUUUAUUUUGCUUUGGUGUCACGAUGGAAUUUCUAAGCUAUUUAUUUAGCAAGAAGAAGCAGAGGAGUGGAAUCAACUCCGGAGGCAAGAGUUUAGUUAGGCAGUCCUGCUGCCAUAAUGCUAAUAAUAUAUAUAAUACCAGAGAUCGAUGGUGUGCAUUACUACUCUAAUUAUUUUUGUACCCAGUUACUUGGUUCGUUUGACACAGACUGCAUUAAGUUGAAGUGUGGCUGAAUUUAGAUUUGUGGCAGAAUGUUUUGUGCAGUAUGGGUACAUACAAUGGUUGACAGUGGAAGCUUAGUGAGGUGUGAGACUAUGCUAUCCUAUACAGAAUAAGAUGAUACAAUUCAGAUGUGAGUGUGAAAUAGAGAGAAAGAACUUGUAGCUUGCAGCAGUAAUUAAUGAAAGAGCAGAGAUAAAGAAAUUAACAAAAGAGGAAGCCUGAAGAAUAUAGCAUAAUAGUCAAAGUAGUGAGAGAGUAAUAGUCAUUUGAUACGAAAAUAGACUUGUGUGUGUUCGGGAGAAUAGAGUCUGAAAUUUAUGAAAUACAGAGGUGUGUGAGGUAAUAGAUUGCAGUAGAUACAGCAAGGAGGAAGCGCAUAAGAAGGUAGUUGAAAUUCAUUCAGACUGCAUUAAGCUGAAAUUCAUUCAGCUGAUCGAUGGUGAGGCAUACAUAAAUAAAUAUCCAUCCAAAUCCAGAGUGCGUCUAGCAUAAAUAAAUAUAAAUAUGUAUGUAGAAAUGCUGGAGUACUAAUGAACUGAGAAGGACAGCAUGGCCUAAUCCCUUUCGUGGCACAUGAUGGAACAAAUUUUGUUGAUACAUGUUUGGGGCGUUCGAUUUGGCUUAUGAAUGGAAUCUUCAAUCCUCUGCCUUUGCUUGCCCUGUAUCUAGUAGAGGACUAAUUUGCCCCUUGUUUCUAUCGUUUAGCUUUCACACACGUUUAUUUCCUAUGCUAUGAAAAUUCGUUCAUUUAAAGCUACUAUGUAAAUUGUAGUUUAUUAUUUUGGAUGUGUGGCCUUCGUGCCAUAUAUGUGAAAUGUGGAUGUGUGGACUUCGUGUCAUAUAUGUGUUGUUGGCCAUCGAGCAGGCUUUUUUUUGUAGGUUUUCGAAACCUCCCCGUGCAGGGGAGGUUCUGCCGAAAUUUUGUACUUACAGUGUUGUUUUUCUGUCGGAGCAUCAGUCGUGGGGUUCGAACCCGACCCCUUCUCCUGGCAGCGGGUGGCAGGUUAGUCCUUAUGGCCACCCGAGUACGCAGCACACGUGGCCUGGUGGCCAUCCGCAGCAUGGCCACCCUGGGUUGUCUAGCAGCCCUCCUCCGCGUCCCGGGUACUCGUACCCGUACCAGUCAGAGCCAGGGCAGGCCAUGUGGGCGCCGUGGAUAGGUGGGAGCUCUCCACACCCUGGGGGGCAUUCACCCUAGUCGGCGUGGCUAGAUGGGGGCUCGGGACACGACGGAGGCCACAAUGACGACGGGUCAGAGUCACGACACUAGGGGUGAGGCGCUAGCGACUUCGAGUAGUGAUAUUCAUGUAGACUUGUGGUUUAUGUUAUGAACUUGUGGCAUAUAUUAUGAACUUGUGGUUUAUGUUGGACUUUAUGUUAGAUUUGUCAUAUCUAUGCGGAUUUGUGAUAUCUAUGAACUUCGAUAUGUUUCAUAUGUGAUAUAUAUGUGGAUUGUGAUA